rnacentral:tRNA from 1 species
AAUAUAGCUCAGCUGGAUAGAGCAACGCCCUUCUAAGGCGUGGGUCAGGGGUUCGAAUCCCUUUAUUGU